UACGAAGGGGGCUAGCGUUGUUCGGAAUUACUGGGCGUAAAGCGCGCGCAGGCGGCUUCUCAAGUCAGUGGUGAAAGCCCGGAGCUCAACUCCGGAACUGCCAUUGAAACUGUGGAGCUUGAGGACGAGAGAGGUGAGUGGAAUUCCCAGUGUAGAGGUGAAAUUCGUAGAUAUUCGCAAGAACACCAGUGGCGAAGGCGGCUCACUGGCCCGAUACUGACGCUGAGGUGCGAAAGCGUGGGGAGCAAACAGG
rnacentral:rRNA from 1 species